GUGAAUCAUCGAAUUUUUGAACGCAUAUUGCACCAUCUGGGAUGCCGGAGAGUAUGCCUAUUUGAGUGUCAUUUGAAAUAAUAUAAAUUUCGAGAUUUUCUUGAAAUCAAAAAUGGGUAGGUUCAUCUUUCGUGGGGUUGUCGCCUAAAAUGCAAGACAAUCUCAUGUCUUGUGUUUCGUGAUACUUUCAGUUACCUCGUCACUUCACUAGAAAUCUUCGAUCGUGUUAAGAGUUGUGAUA
rnacentral:misc_RNA from 1 species